CCUGUGGGGACCACAACCCUGCAGAUCCUGAUCCUGCCCAGGACUCCACAGCCCAGUGACCCAUCAGUAUCAGCUUCCCCAGCGUCUGGGUCCAGUUUCUGCUCCUUCUCUGAGACUCAGAGACACUGUUGCUCACAGACUGUCUGAUGGCC